AUGAUCUGAAAAGGACAUUACAGGAGGGAGUAGUAGGAGUUGUGAUGUGUCGUUGUGCCCAAGCCAAUAGUCAAGAUCUGCAAGGUGUUCUCGAGCUUGUGCCGAAGGACUAAUCCUAGCUGUGAUGAAUAGAUUUAUUUUCUAAUUACUGAUCUCUCUAACAGCUGAAGCUUUGCAAGACAUCAAAAUCAUUCCAUGAUACAGUCGGAGGUGAGGCUACUGGGUACUGCUGGGAGGACAAGGAGCUCCUGCUGGUGUACGAGUAUAUGGGCAAGGGCUGGAGAAACAUAUCUUCAGAAGUGAGCCACACAGUGGGAGGGAAUGGCUAGAGGUGGCCUUUAGGAAGCCGUUGGAAGGAAUUUCGCAUGGCCAGUGCAAUAUUUUGGAUAUUUUGGACAUCCUAACUAGAGAUGAAUGCUUUUAGACAUCUUAACUAGAGAUGAAUAAUUUUGUUAAGACUUAGGUAAUGAAUUGUAAUGAGACGUGAACUGUGCAACUAGUGCAAACAUCUAGAAGCUAUGCGUUAUUCUAUCUCGAUGGGCAAACUGCCUUGAUGUAACUUAUUUCUCCAAGUUGUGAGC